rnacentral:piRNA from 1 species
UACCCACAGCACAGCUGACAGGGUC